UGGGGAAUUUUGGGCAAUGGGCGCAAGCCUGAUCCAGCCAUGCCGCGUGUGUGAAGAAGGCCUUCGGGUUGUAAAGCCCUUUUGUCGGGGAAGAAAAGCUCGGGGCUAAUACCUCCGAGUCUUGACGGUACCCACAAAAAUAAGCACCGGGCUAACUUCGUG
rnacentral:rRNA from 1 species